rnacentral:misc_RNA from 1 species
UACUUCCAUUACUGUCGGUCAUUGCGUUUUGAUGAUAAACCAGAUUAUGCUUACCUGAGAAGGCUUUUCCGUGAUCUUUUUAUUCGUGAAGGUUUGAACUUUACUUACUGUUCGAUUGGACAAUUUUGAAAUAUCAGCAAUCUCAGAUUGCCAAUCCUCCUACUCGUGUACUUGGCCCUGUCGCUGGACCAAGCUCUGGCAUNGCCUCGUACUGGUGCUAACGUUGACAAGCAAUCAGGAGGGGAAGAGGGUAGACCUGGUUGGCCUUCAACAGAUUCCUCUCGAAGGAGAAACUCUGGUCCAAUUACAAGUUCUGUAAACAUAUUUAAGCAAAAAGGUCCUGUUGCAAAUGAUCUAUCCUCAUCCAAAGAUGCUGCAUUAUCCAGCUCAAAUUUUCUGCGGUCUGGUGGAUCAUCAAGGCGACCUGCCUUCUCUAGCAGUCGUGAAGUCGUUCUUGUUGGGAGUGACUCUUCUCGCACGAUAGAUGUGAGCUCUGCAGUCAAAAUUUCCAGUGUUCAAAGAGGCUUGCCUAUUGUAUCUUCAGAGCAGAAGCAUCCCUCUUCUGGUAGAAACUCCUUAAAUAUAAAGACAUUUGAAUCAACUCUUAGGGGCAUUGAGAGCCUGCACUUCAACAAUGAAGAAAGAGUACAAUAUUAGUGAAAUGCCAACCUCAGUUCUUUCCCACUGUAAAUUUACAAUCAGAUACUGUUAUGCACACGAAAGUGGAAUGUGGUGUUAUGCGUCUCUAUAUCAUCUAGUUGCAACGCAUAUGUCUUUUUUUGUACAUCAGCAGACAAUACAGUUGAGAUACCCUCUGAUUGGAAUAUGUAUAGCAACACACUGCGAGCAUCUUAACGGUUCCAAAUUUGUAAUGGAACAUUAGAGCUUACAUUCUGCUACUGUACAUGCAUUUCUGAAUUUAAUGGACCAAACAGCAUUGCAAAUAAGCAGCAUCACUGUUUAGCAUUGCUGAUGGACUGUAAGGUUUUCAAAUUAGCCAGUAUGCCCAUUACUAUUAGAUUUCGAGUAUACCCUCUUUAAUUGUUUCAAUAUUCAAAAUUUUCCG